GAGAGGAACUUGUUCCUCGAGUCGUUGAUUUCACACUGCCGAGAAAAGCCUCUAGCUAGAAUAACGGUGCCCGUACCGCAAACCGACACAGGUAGUCAAGAUGAGAAUUCUAAGGUGAGCGAGCGAACUCUCGUUAAGGAACUCGGCAAAAUGACCCCGUAACUUCGGGAGAAGGGGUGCUCUUUGAGGUUCACGCUUCGAAGAGCCGCAGUGAAUAGGCCCAAGCGACUGUUUAUCAAAAACACAGGUCUCUGCUAAACCGUAAGGUGACGUAUAGGGGCUGACGCCUGCCCGGUGCUGGAAGGUUAAGAGGAGUGGUUAGCGCAAGCGAAGCUACGAAUCGAAGCCCCAGUAAACGGCGGCCGUAACUAUAACGGUCCUAAGGUAGCGAAAUUCCUUGUCGGGUAAGUUCCGACCCGCACGAAAGGCGUAACGAUUUGGGCACUGUCUCAACGAGAGACUCGGUGAAAUCAUAGUACCGGUGAAGAUGCCGGUUACCCGCGACAGGACGGAAAGACCCCGUGGAGCUUUACUGUAGCCUGAUAUUGAAAUUCGGUACAGUUUGUACAGGAUAGGUAGGAGCCUUAGAAGCGUGAGCGCUAGCUUACGUGGAGGCAUUGGUGGGAUACUACCCUAAUUGUAUUGGAUUUCUAACCCGCAGCACUUAUCGUGCUGGGAGACAGUGUCAGGCGGGCAGUUUGACUGGGGCGGUCGCCUCCUAAAGAGUAACGGAGGCGCUCAAAGGUUCCCUCAGAAUGGUUGGAAAUCAUUCAUAGAGUGUAAAGGCAUAAGGGAGCUUGACUGCGAGACCUACAAGUCGAGCAGGGUCGAAAGACGGACUUAGUGAUCCGGUGGUUCCGCAUGGAAGGGCCAUCGCUCAACGGAUAAAAGCUACCCCGGGGAUAACAGGCUUAUCUCCCCCAAGAGUUCACAUCGACGGGGAGGUUUGGCACCUCGAUGUCGGCUCAUCGCAUCCUGGGGCUGUAGUCGGUCCCAAGGGUUGGGCUGUUCGCCCAUUAAAGCGGUACGCGAGCUGGGUUCAGAACGUCGUGAGACAGUUCGGUCCCUAUCCGUCGUGGGCGUAGGAAAUUUGAGAGGAGCUGUCCUUAGUACGAGAGGACCGGGAUGGACAUACCUCUGGUGUACCAGUUGUCGUGCCAACGGCAUAGCUGGGUAGCUAUGUAUGGACGGGAUAAGUGCUGAAAGCAUCUAAGCAUGAAGCCCCCCUCGAGAUGAGAUUUCCCAACUUCGGUUAUAAG
rnacentral:rRNA from 1 species